rnacentral:lncRNA from 1 species
UGCUUUAAUUCGCAUCUUGUCUAGGGGUCCAUUAAAUAUUACUCCUAAAAGUGUUCAGCACGUCUGAUUUUAUGAUAAUUUUCUUCUGUUUCAGGGAUAUUCCUCUGCCAUUGGCCAUGAGUUUCAGUUAAUUGUGACUGCACAAGAAAAUAUAAUUCUGCAUCAUGACCGCAAAAUUAGUCAUAAAGUGUGUGUUUCUGCCUCUGUUUCGCUGUAUCGGCCAGCAGCGUCGAAUAUCGACCAGAGGGCGGCCCAGUUUACGUGAACGCAAUUAGCCAUGGAGGCUCCGAAUCAUCUGCCGAAUCAGUCGCUCCAAAAGGAAACUCCUCACUCAAACUGUCUACGGAUUUUUGGAUUUCACUACGACCAUCGGAAAUACCGUCAUGGUGUUUUCUCCACAGAGCUCCGCAGUAGCAGAAGCAAAUAAAGAAUCGUCAACAGAGCCAAUAGUGACGAAACCCGACGUCACAGAUGAAGAAUCUCAAUCGAUCAGCCCGAGCAGGCCGAUCCCAAGUUCGACGACGGAGGAAGAACGCAAGUCUGAAGAGAGCUCCGUGGGACCGAGUGAACCUGAGACCGAGUUUGUUUCGAGUAUCGUCAGCGUCAUCGAAGGGCCUCAAGACCACGAAAGCGAAGAUGAGGAAGAGUAUGAAAGAGACUCAAUUUUCAGCAGCCCUGGCGACUUCGAAGAAGACUCGAUCGUAGAAUCCAGCCGCGUGGAAGAGGACCCCGAACCAUCCGACUCUUACUCCUCCGAAUUCGUCGAGAACACCCCCGCCCUGGCGACGGCCUCCCCCAAGUUCUCGACGGUCGUCUCCGUCCAAUCGAAGGUGGCCGAAUCCUCCCCCCAGGCGGCCGUAUCCUCCAGGGUCUCCGAGGCCAGCUCCGUCAAAAUCGAGGCCCAGGAGCCCGCGAGCACCGAGGCCACCUCCGAAGAGUCCCCGCCAUCCCCGCCAUCAGCGCCAACAACAUCGAGAACAAACCGGAGUAUGACUUCCUCUCCAGGCAGCCAACUGAGAUCGUCGACGAGACUUAUGAGGUUAUCGAUUUGAAACCAAGUGCAAUCAAAUAUCCGAAUAAAGCUCGUUCAGUCAACCACGAUUUAAAAUCGAGGGGAAUAGGAAACAACUACAAUGAUGGAUACCAACCAGUCGGUAAGGGAUAAGGUUUUCUUGUCACUAACCGAUGGAGGAAACAUUGUUUUUUAUUUUUUAUGUCAUGGGAACUAACCCGGUUCUGGAGUAUCGUCAUAAAUUUAUUUUACUGAAAUGAGAAUAUCAAUUUAGUGAUUAAUCAUGUUCAAAAAUGAUUAAAAAUAUCUUUACGAUGAAGCCGUGCAAGUUUUAAAUUCGGUCUGGGACAUACUUAAGUUUUGCAAAUUCUGUGUCAUCAAUUUUCGAGAUUUCCUGCAACUUUUCUUGACUUUCUCCAACAUACUUAAUAAUUUUCUCUCAUUUCGCAAAAAUUGCAUGUUCUCUGAUAUAUUUACUUCUUAGUUUUGCAUAAAUUUAGUCGCAGGGAAUAUUUAAAGUUUUAAGAUAGAUCAAGUAAGUAAAACAUUAAAUGGACUACAUUUUUUCAAUUAGAGAUUGCUAUGUCCAUCUCAUUCAUAAAAUUGCAUUACUGCACAUGGGUUCUAUAGAC